rnacentral:rRNA from 1 species
GAGUUUGAUCCUGGCUCAGAUUAAACGCUGGCGGCAUGCUUUACACAUGCAAGUCGAACGGCAGCACAAGGAGCUUGCUCCUGGGUGGCGAGUGGCGAACGGGUGAGUAAUGUAUCGGAACGUGCCUGGUAGUGGGGGAUAACCACUCGAAAGAGUGGCUAAUACCGCAUGAGAUCUCUGGAUGAAAGCGGGGGACCUUUGGGCCUCGCGCUACCGGAGCGGCCGAUAUCAGAUUAGGUUGUUGGUGGGGUAAAGGCCUACCAAGCCUGCGAUCUGUAGCUGGUCUGAGAGGACGACCAGCCACACUGGGACUGAGACACGGCCCAGACUCCUACGGGAGGCAGCAGUGGGGAAUUUUGGACAAUGGGCGCAAGCCUGAUCCAGCAAUGCCGCGUGCAGGAUGAAGGCCCUCGGGUUGUAAACUGCUUUUGUACAGAACGAAAAGUCUCUGGCUAAUACCUGGGGAUCAUGACGGUACU